UUUUUGGGGGGGGGGGGGGGGGUUCCCAAAUGGAUAAAAAAAACAACUUUUAAGUGUAUGGUGAAUGAAAGAGGAUAAAAAUUACUUAAAAGUCUAUUCAAGAGUUGCUUGAGGGAAAAAUAAAAAAAAAGAAACACUGACCUGGCUUGAUCAAUGUUCCUUGAGUUGCAUGCAAAGUUUUUGUUUUGUUUAUAUUUAUAGGUAAGUGUGUAAAUAAUUCUAUUUAGUGGCUACUAAAACUAGGAGGCUAGAGGUGCACUAGAUCAACUGGUUAUGCCAGUAAAGGUCCUCAUCCUACAGAGUGCACACCAAUUGAUUUGUGGCUUUGAGUUUCACAAGUUUGGCUUCCUUCCGUCUUCCUAGUCCACUGUAUACAUUCUAUAUCAACAUUGCCUUCAUUGACUAAAGGUGCUAUUUAUGUUAUUCAUUAUGUAUUGCUUCUCUGUGAUUGGAAUCUGUGUGCUUAACACUCAUUUAGACUUGUUCUGUCAUUUGUUUUGUAUAUAUUUAUAAAUAAUGGUUCAUUUCAUUUCUAAUUCUUGACCAGUGAUAUUUAAACUAGGCUGCACAUACCCUUGGUUAAGUGCCUCGCUGACCAGACAAGAGAACCCAAAUGAAUUUUUUUUAAUGAUAAAGUUUUAAGACUAGGUCUUAGCUUAGCCUAGAGCUAACUACUUGGGAUACAGGCAACCCUUCUUCUUUUUCUAGCUCCUUCUCUAGCCUUAACAUGAUACUUCGGUCAGAAUGUUUAAUUAAUUAGUGUUAACUAAUGCAAGGUUUAGCAUAUUGUAGGCUACUUUAUUGUUAGAAGUCUGUAAGUAGAAAUGUGUUACCUGCUGUUAUAUAUCAUGUAACUUAAUGGAUUGCCGCUGUGUGUAUACAUUGUAGACAUUAUUUCUUUAAUAAAAUUAUAUUCUUUCAUUGGCAC